GAAGGGGGCUGCUCCUAGUACGAGAGGACCGGAGUGGACGAACCUCUGGUGUACCGGUUGUCACGCCAGUGGCAUUGCCGGGUAGCUAAGUUCGGAAGAGAUAACCGCUGAAAGCAUCUAAGCGGGAAACUUGCCUUGAGAUGAGAUUUCCCAGAGCCUUGAGCUCUUUGAAGGGUCGUUCGAGACCAGGACGUUGAUAGGCUGGGUGUGGAAGUGCAGUAAUGCAUUAAGCUAACCAGUACUAAUUGCCCGUACGGCUUGUCCC
rnacentral:rRNA from 1 species